rnacentral:rRNA from 1 species
UGGGGAAUUUUGACAAUGGGGGAAACCCUGAUCCAGCCAUCCCGCGUGUGCGAUGAAGGCCUUCGGGUUGUAAAGCACUUUUGGCAGGAAAGAAACGUCAUGGGUUAAUACCCCGUGAAACUGACGGUACCUGCAGAAUAAGCACCGGCUAACUACGUGCCAGCAGCCGCGGUAAUACGUAGGGUGCAAGCGUUAAUCGGAAUUACUGGGCGUAAAGCGUGCGCAGGCGGUUCGGAAAGAAAGAUGUGAAAUCCCAGAGCUCAACUUUGGAACUGCAUUUUUAACUACCGGGCUAGAGUGUGUCAGAGGGAGGUGGAAUUCCGCGUGUAGCAGUGAAAUGCGUAGAUAUGCGGAGGAACACCGAUGGCGAAGGCAGCCUCCUGGGAUAACACUGACGCUCAUGCACGAAAGCGUGGGGAGCAAACAGG